AUUGAACGCUGGCGGCAGGCCUAACACAUGCCAGUCGAGCGGAUGAAGGGAGCUUGCUCCUGGAUUCAGCGGCGGACGGGUGAGUAAUGCCUAGGAAUCUGCCUGGUAGUGGGGGAUAACGUCCGGAAACGGGCGCUAAUACCGCAUACGUCCUGAGGGAGAAAGUGGGGGAUCUUCGGACCUCACGCUAUCAGAUGAGCCUAGGUCGGAUUAGCUAGUUGGUGGGGUAAAGGCCUACCAAGGCGACGAUCCGUAACUGGUCUGAGAGGAUGAUCAGUCACACUGGAACUGAGACACGGUCCAGACUCCUACGGGAGGCAGCAGUGGGGAAUAUUGGACAAUGGGCGAAAGCCUGAUCCAGCCAUGCCGCGUGUGUGAAGAAGGUCUUCGGAUUGUAAAGCACUUUAAGUUGGGAGGAAGGGCAGUAAGUUAAUACCUUGCUGUUUUGACGUUACCAACAGAAUAAGACCGGCUAACUUCGUG
rnacentral:rRNA from 1 species